UUUUAAAUUUUCAUUUUAAAAAAAUUGAAUGAAUUUCGCUCUAAAUCAUCCAAAAAUUUAAUAUUUGGCUGGCGUACACGCACGAACGCAAAUGCACGAGGGUCAGUGUAUUGUGUUCUUCAAAUGACGUGUUUGCAUAAAAUAAAUAAUAUUAGUUUCUAUAUGCAUUGAUUAUAACAAUUAAUAAUUUGAAUGAAAUUUAUAUUUAUUUAGAAUGAAAAACCAAUCAAAUCUAAUACUAUUUUUUGAAUCAAUAGCAUAAGUAUUUGAAAAAAAGGAAAUUACAUUCAGAUCUAUGACUGAUUUUAUCAGUACGGAAAACAUUAAAACGAGUCAGUCUUGAAGAAACCGCUGAGUUGAAAAGUUGUCACACAAAUUAUUUCCAAUCUAUUUGAAAAUGAAAAAAAAAACUAAAAAAAUGUUAGAGUGAAUAAGUAAACUUAUAAAGUGGCAAAAAUCAUCAAGUGAUCGACAAAGAAAUUUGAUAAAGUGUUGGAAAUCGUUAGAUUGGUUCAAUCGAUCAUCCUGAUUGCAAGUCAUUGUUGAUUGGAAACGCCCGUGAGCAGAAGCUGGAAAAUUAUCCCCAUCUGUUUUAUCGAACUACUUUUCUUCAAAAAUUCCAUCUAGGAGAGACCUAAAUAGUAUCAAGGACAAUCAUUGUCUUUUCCAUGGAAUUGGAAAAGUGAUUCGCAGAUAGCAGCAGAACUCAGAGCAAACAGUAAAGGCCGUAAAUCUGCAAAACACAACUUAGAAAAGUGAGCGCUGUAAUAAAAGUAGACGAGGAGCACUACCACUGAUCAAAUUUCAUUAUGUCAUCGUUUAUCUUUACGGGGCAAAACACAAUCAGUCUUUUGAAAUAUCUUAUUUCUUCUGAAACUGGUAAACACAAUUGGGGGAAAGCAGAAGAACAUACAUCCAAAAGCUGAGAAGAAGACUUCACGAAACUACUAGAAAGUCGUGCAACACCCCAUAGAAAUUAAUGUAAUACAAUUUUAUUGUGAAUACACAUUAUUUAUGUCAAAUAAAUUUAUUUUUGAAAUCAUAGCAAGAGUUUUUUAAAUAUACCCUGGUACUGUUAUAUCUACCCGAGAAUAUUAUUUGAUUUAAUGUGGAGGAAUAUCAAAGCAAACAUAUUUGCCAUUGAAUCUAUGGUAAAGUACAUUUAAAUAUACCAAGGAAAUUUUUAAUUUUACCCAUUGUGUAUUUAAAUUAAUGGUAAAUCGUGGUUAAAACAAAUAUUUCUACUAUUGAAACUAUGGUAGUGUUACCCAGAAAUUUUUGAUUCUACCCAUGAAAGUGUUUAAAAUCCACUUUAGAAAUAAAGUGCAAAUGUAUUUGAUUUAAAAGACAUGUUUUCUUUUCAAAUACAGUGCCAUUCAAAAUAAAUACAAAUAUAUUUGUUGUGGCUAUGAUUACUGCCUUUCAGAUCAAAUGUAAAAAUAUUUGAAGUAA